UAGCAUGAAGUCAGACAAGUGC
rnacentral:rRNA from 1 species